AUAUAUAUUUUAGAUGUGCCCUGCCCAGUGAAAUUUCAACGGCCGCAGUACUCUGACUGUGCUAAGGUAGCAUAAUAAUUUGUCUAGUAAUUUUAGACUAGAAUGAGUGGGUUUUUGUGUGGUGUGCUGUCUUAUAUUAAUAAUAAUAAAUUUACUAAAAAGGUGAAAAUGCCUUUUAAUACUUAAAAUAGACGAGAAGACCCUUAGAGUUUUAAUUAUUGUUUAAUUUGAAUUUCUUUUUUGUUGGGGCGACAGGAAAUGCAAAAAACCUUUCUUAAGUAUUUUAUAUAAAUCAAAUGGUAUUUUUAAAAAAUAAGCUACCUAAGGGAUAACAGCAUAAUUUUUUUAUAAGAUUGUGACCUCGAUGUUGGAUUAAGGACUUAUAGAUUAACCAUUUGUUAAGAUUGUUCUGUUCGAAC
rnacentral:rRNA from 1 species